CUCGAGUGGCGAACGGGUGAGUAACACGUGGGUGAUCUGCCCUGCACUUUGGGAUAAGCCUGGGAAACUGGGUCUAAUACCGAAUAUUUCCUUCUGGUCGCAUGGCUGGGAGGGGAAAGCUUUUGCGGUGUGGGAUGGGCCCGCGGCCUAUCAGCUUGUUGGUGAGGUUAUGGCUUACCAAGGCGACGACGGGUAGCCGGCCUGAGAGGGUGACCGGCCACACUGGGACUGAGAUACGGCCCAGACUCCUACGGGAGGCAGCAGUGGGGAAUAUUGCACAAUGGGCGCAAGCCUGAUGCAGCGACGCCGCGUGGGGGAUGACGGCCUUCGGGUUGUAAACCUCUUUCAAUAGGGACGAAGCGCAAGUGACGGUACCUAUAGAAGAAGGACCGGCCAACUACGUGCCAGCAGCCGCGGUAAUACGUAGGGUCCGAGCGUUGUCCGGAAUUACUGGGCGUAAAGAGCUCGUAGGUGGUUUGUCGCGUUGUCCGUGAAAACUCACAGCUUAACUGUGGGCGUGCGGGCGAUACGGGCAGACUUGAGUACUGCAGGGGAGACUGGAAUUCCUGGUGUAGCGGUGGAAUGCGCAGAUAUCAGGAGGAACACCGGUGGCGAAGGCGGGUCUCUGGGCAGUAACUGACGCUGAGGAGCGAAAGCGUGGGGAGCGAACAGGAUUAGAUACCCUGGUAGUCCACGCCGUAAACGGUGGGUACUAGGUGUGGGUUUCCUUCCUUGGGAUCCGUGCCGUAGCUAACGCAUUAAGUACCCCGCCUGGGGAGUACGGCCGCAAGGCUAAAACUCAAAGAAAUUGACGGGGGCCCGCACAAGCGGCGGAGCAUGUGGAUUAAUUCGAUGCAACGCGAAGAACCUUACCUGGGUUUGACAUGCACAGGACG
rnacentral:rRNA from 1 species